rnacentral:lncRNA from 1 species
ACAGGGGCGAUGAACAAAUCUUUGGCGAAUGUUGUGGCAUUUGGCGCUGACACGACCAACUCUCUCUGUCUGUCCCCAACAGUUUAUUUAUUUCGCAAGAAUUCCGUGGAGGAAACAUUUUUUUCCAUGUUUGAAGUCUUGCUUGGUGAUGGAAUGAGUCAUUUUCUGAAGCAAUGAGAUGGAAGGAACCUUCAUAGCAUCCAACAAACAAGGAUUUCUAUGAGGCAUUGUGUUUUCCACAUAACAGACCUCUGUAUCACCAACUUAAAUGAGCCUCCACCUGUCCACCAUGAUCUCCCCCAAACUUAAUCCACACCUCUUCUUCAGGAAUUGUCCCAUCGUGAGUUGUGAGAAAUCCAUUCCUGUGGAAAGAUGAUGGAACAUGAACAUAUGGUCUGUGACUCUGCUCUGGACCUAGUGAAUCACUGUUGACUGUCCAUGGUUCAAGUGAGGAUUGGCAAACCUGGUCAUUUCUUGAUUACCUACAGAAUGCAAUUGCAACAUAUGCAAAAUCUUAUGCAGGAAUGGGGCUAUAGCAGUGAUGGGACACUACCUUUGACUGUGAAGAUCAGACGAUGCAAUUCCUGUUGGUCAGCCCCCCCCCCCCCCCCACCCCAAGGAGCCAUGCACUGCCAGAGAUCUUGAGCCAGGUCUUCAGUGGUUAUCCAUUGAUAAGAAGAACGGAGAUAAUAAAGACAGUGAGGUAUCUUGUUGAUUUCGACGUGACCAUCUUCCUGACGCUUCUUCCAAACAAUGAAACUGGAGGCUCUUUCCACGAAUGAAUGUUUAGCUGCUUCAAGUGUGAUUCCAGCUUUUUCAAGAGCUUCUUGUUGUUCUACUUCUACUGGCCUUUAUUGUAGUUAACAUGUCCUGUGAAUGUUUUUAGGAGGCCAGUUAUGCUACAAACACAGUAAACCUCAAGUUCACAUAUAGUUAAAAAACAGGGACUACUUGUAACAUAAUCUAGGAAAAAGUUCUACAAAUUGGACAUGGUGAAACUUUUCAUUCAUUAUGUUUUCAGUAUUUACUGAGGUACUCACUACAAAAGGAAGUUGGGGUCAAAAGGUCAAGUUUUUGUUCAACUUGGUCACAUUCCUUUAUUUCUGCAUCAAUUAUGUUCACACUUCAUCUGAUCCCUGGGUAAUACAUGUACUUUCAUUAGGAUAAUGGGUCAAAGGCCUAAUGUUAAUAAUCAACUGCCUAAUGUUAAUAAUCAACUGAAAAUUACUUAGUCAGAAAAGGUGGUUUAUUGGAUUCCCUAUCUUUUGCUUGUAAUUAUUAUUUUUUUCAAAUUUAGUAUUUCUCCAUCAAAUCUGACAAAUUCAUUAUUUUUUUAUCAAUAAUUAUUAAACGAUGUCAGUAAUAACAGUUUUGAGAAACAUGUGCAAGUAUAUGUACCAAUAUCCAUGUGCAGAAUAUUUGCUGGAAGGUUAAAUGCUACAGUGAAAUUUUAAAGUGCGCAACCAUAGGAUACGGGAAAAAGUUCUUGCAGCCUUUGAUGUACUUUUAAAGAUCAAGAUAGAAUUCACCCAAAACAUCUAUUAGGUGUUAGUAGCUGAAAAUAUCCUAGAUUAGUUCAGAACUAUUCAUCUGGAAGAAGAGACAAGUCAAAGCAUUUUAAACAAUUUCAAAACUUACUUGCGCUAUAUUUGUUUUUAAUUGAUAUGCAGUUAGAAUUGAUCAAAUUCUGAUUGCAAGCUGACAAAUUAUAUAUAUAUUUUGUGCCCGCCUUAGCAACACUCUUGUUCGAUUUGAAGUGUAUUGAUUAAGAAGUUAUAACAUGUAACAGUCUGUUAAAAUUCUUGGUGUAAUCGUCCAAUCCAAUCUAAAAUGGGACCUACAUAUCAUGGAAAUCAUCAAAAAAUGUAACAGGAAGUUGUACAUGUUUAGGCUUUCGAAGCAAUAUGGGCUGUCUCUAUCGGAUCUGAAAUUGGUAUACAUGGGCUACAUUCGUCCUGUUAUGGAAUAUUGCACCCCAGUUUUUAAUGGUGGGCUUACAAAGAAAUAUGUAAGAAGUUUAGAGCAAAUUAAAAAAAGAGCUUGUAGAAUCAUGUUGGGCCCAAACUACCCGGGCAAACUACACAGAUUAUGCCAGUGCUUGCCUAUCAUGUGAAAUUCCUACUCUGGAAUACAGAAGGGAGAAACUCGGCCUGGAUUUCGCAAUAUCUGUAACCAAAUAUCCAACAUUCAGUACCUGGUUACCUCCUCCAAAAAACUUACCCAUCAAUCUCCGACAUACUCCUAGAUAUCAGCAAUACAAAUGUAGGACAAAUCGAUUUCGCAGUAGCCCCAUACCAUAUUUCAUAGAUCUCCUGAAUAAAGACAUGCCCAAUCAAUAAACCCAUUGCUCAUUUGAAAGCAAUACCAGCCUACUUGCAAUAUCAAGUUUUUUAAUGAAUGAGGAAAUCAACUUUUUAAUAUCCAUAUAUUUUUAUUGAUCUUUUACAAACGU